rnacentral:rRNA from 1 species
UACGUAGGGUCCGAGCGUUGUCCGGAAUUACUGGGCGUAAGGAGCUCGUAGGUGGUUUGUCGCGUUGUUCGUGAAAACUCACAGCUUAACUGUGGGCGUGCGGGCGAUACGGGCAGACUAGAGUACUGCAGGGGAGACUGGAAUUCCUGGUGUAGCGGUGGAAUGCGCAGAUAUCAGGAGGAACACCGGUGGCGAAGGCGGGUCUCUGGGCAGUAACUGACGCUGAGGAGCGAAAGCGUGGGGAGCGAACAGG